UACGGAGGGGGCAAGCGUUAUCCGGAUUCACUGGGUUUAAAGGGUGCGUAGGCGGGCUGGUAAGUCAGCGGUGAAAUCUCCAGGCUUAACUUGGAAACUGCCAUUGAUACUGUCAGUCUUGAAUACCGUGGAGGUCAGCGGAAUAUGUCAUGUAGCGGUGAAAUGCUUAGAUAUGACAUAGAACACCAAUUGCGAAGGCAGCUGGCUACACGAAUAUUGACACUGAUGCACGAAAGCGUGGGGAUCAAACAGG
rnacentral:rRNA from 1 species